rnacentral:lncRNA from 1 species
CUGCUGUGUGGGAGACACACACACCCCACAAACAAACACACCCCACAUCUAUGUCAUUUGCAGGCUGACUUGAGUUUUAAAACAGUUCUGGGCACGAAUGUGUGGUUAUCUCUGUAGGAGCAGACAGGGCUUUCUUCCAGCCAGAAAAUUCACAGUUCAAUUGAGGAAAUGAUGAACAUCAAUUGAAAAACAAUUCCAAAAUACUUCACAAAAUUGCCUUUCAUGGUUUUUCACUUGCUUAUUUGUUUUUACACUUGGCCAAUGGGUCAGACCAACCUGCUGGCUACCUUAGCUGUCGGGGUUGGAUGGCAUGCAAAGUGACAUAUUUAUUUCCUGUCUCACUAUUGAUGACUGUUGCAUAGGAUACAUACUUUAUUCUUUGUUAAUGUCAUACACUCAGGCUAAAGGGUUGAGACCUUAAUAGGUAGUCUUCCUGAGCUCUGAUGUUUCGACUGUGCAAGCCAAACUCACAAUGUGGAAAAUGGAACAUUUUAUGAAGUUCAUACAUUUUCAAAAUUGCUCCUACAAUGAUGCCUUUGUUUUGUGUUAGGACUGGAAUGAUGGCUUCUAUCUAUUCCAAAUAACUCCAAUAUCGCC